rnacentral:rRNA from 1 species
GAUGAACGCUAGCUACAGGCUUAACACAUGCAAGUCGAGGGGCAGCACAGUGUAGCAAUACAUGGGUGGCGACCGGCGCACGGGUGCGUAACGCGUAUCCAACCUUCCCGAUACUCAGGGAUAGCCUUCCGAAAGGGAGAUUAAUACCUGAUGGUGUUUCAAUUCCGCAUGUUAAUGAAACUAAAGAUUUAUCGGUAUCGGAUGGGGAUGCGUGACAUUAGAUAGUAGGCGGGGUAACGGCCCACCAAGGCAACGAUCGUUAGGGGUUCUGAGAGGAAGGUCCCCCCACACUGGAACUGAGACACGGUCCAGACUCCUACGGGAGGCAGCAGUGAGGAAUAUUGGUCAAUGGGCGGGAGCCUGAACCAGCCAAGUAGCGUGAAGGAUGACUGCCCUACGGGUUGUAAACUUCUUUUGUUUGGGAAUAAAAGACGCUACGUGUAGCGUUCUGCAUGUACCUUAGAAUAAGCAUCGGCUAAUUCCGUGCCAGCAGCCGCGGU